GAGCGCACGCGGCAACGAGGUGACUUCCCCGGCACCUACGUCGAGUUCCUGGGUCCUGUAGCCCUGGCCCGGCCUGGCCCUCGUCCACGUGGCCCCCGCCCACUGCCCGCCAGGCCCCGGGAUGGGCCCCCUGAGCCAGCCACUUUGUUGUUCCCGCUAAGGAGAGAGAGAGGACACGUGAGCCAGUUUCUUACUUGAGGACACCGAGGCGCAGAGGGGGCCUCACACUCCCCGACCUGCCAGAGCAGUUCUCCCCACCUGAUGUGGCUCCCCCGAUCCUGGUGAAGCUGGUGGAGGCCAUUGAGCGGACAGGGCUAGACAGCGAAUCCCUCUACAGGC